GGAACUACAACUCCCAGCAUGCCCCUCUGCGGUGGGCGGGGCCGGAGCCUGCGGGGACUGAGCAUGUGCGGGGGCGCGAGCCGGGGCCGGGCUGCAGGCGCGCGGCCACGGACUUGCAGGAGAAGUUGCAAGGCUGCACCGGGCACGGCUCGGGCUCGCUCGCUCGCUCCCUUUCUCUCCUUCUCUCCCUCUUUUGCUCUCUGGUGCAAGAGGAGGAGCCGCGGCACCGGCCGAGCAGCUGCACUAACGGCGGCGAGAGAAGCUGACUUGGCUAACUCAGCGAGCUUUCUGGGCAUGGGAGGCUGUUGUUCAGUGUCAUAUGUAUUUUAAAUU
rnacentral:lncRNA from 1 species